UUUCGACAGCUGACUUUGAAUAAGUUACUUCUUCAUCGUAAAAACAUUCUAGAAAUAGGGCAAGAUAAAAGACUGGUGCCGAAGCCCACGUAGACUGGGUCGUAAACCACGUGCAGAAGAAAAAGGUAAGAACCGACACUUCUGUUGGGCUACGACGGAUUUUGUUAUCGUUUGCUAGUGACCAAUUGGAAGUGAAUGGCUAUCACAGCUUUCGGACGUCACAUGGUGCACACCAGUAAGCGCUUAUGGAAACAUGUCGCAAGGAAGGACAAACAAGCACUUCACGAAGGCAUGCAGAAGAAGACGUGGAAUAGUUCGCAGGCAGAAGUGGCGACGCUGGUGAAAUUUACACCCCUGUCAGGCGGACUAAUUUAGCGUCACUUUCAGCGAGUGACACUUUCACUUAGUGUCAUUCGUGUGCUGUAACACGGCAUCUUUUAACGACACUCGAGAUAAAGGGCACAAACGAUUUGGUGAGUUCCCCAAAGUCAAUUCACACUCUUUGGCUGAGCGAGUGUGUAGCCCAGUGUGUCGCCAGGCUUUACGGUACACGUAAAAAUAUUGAGAAAAAGUGAAGAGCCACGACACCACAAUAGUUUUAAACAAGUAUUUUCAACAGUGUGUUUAUUUUAUUUUACUACGGUGUGAGAAUGUGCCAAAAACCACCUCCUUAUUCACGUUAACCGCCUAUGAGAACUUUGCGGUCUUUAUGCGGUCUUGCAAUCUGGCGGUGGCAAUUUUUGUUGUGGGGCGUGUUUGCGGCUAGUUUCCUAAAUGCUGAAAGAAAAUUUGCAGGAGAUGUUUCUAAAUAAAACAAAAACAUUCUGAGGAAGGUUUGUGGUGCACGCCUAAAAAUUUUGCCGCCGUUUAUUCUUAAGUAUCGCAAUCGCGAUCAUUGUUUCAGCGACACUUACUGAAACCGUGUAGCAAGCACGGAGUGACAGUGACAUUCCCUUGGUUGGGGUGCACUUCAUGAAAAUGACACUGAAUUCGCCCGUGUGACAGGGGUAUUAAUCGUAUGCUGUCAUCGCUUCGAAAGUUUUCUAAACUGACUACUUUGACAGCUUCCGACAAGACCUGUUUGAGCACCGUCUCUCCAACAGUCCUGACUAAACAACAUAGCUUGUGACAUGCAGUGGGAAUCACAAAGUGGAUGGCGUUAUGAAAGCUUGAUAACACACUGACACCAAACUGCAGAAAAAGGUCAGAGGACAAAUGUGCUGGACACAACACUUCCUGCUUGCGUUUGACCUCUUUUCGCAGUGUGACACAGGGGCAGAAAUGGUAGAUGAGCAGUGCUGAAUAAACCACAGUUGCAAUUCAAUACUUGCAUUGUGUCUCUCUGUAUGUCUCGGUCCUCUUUACGUACGUACAAGGUGUUGUAUGACUACCCUCCGACUGGACAAUUAAAAAAUGGCUAUUAUUACCGUUUCUCGGGCAGAAAACGUUGGGGGA